rnacentral:sRNA from 5 species
ACAGUGGUUUUCUAGGGUUCCGCAAUGCUGAAUUGGUCUGGACCGAGAGAAAACACACAGCAGGUUCCUGCUGUGACACGUUGGGAUAAAAGCCCGGGAGUU